UACAGAGGUCUCAAGCGUUGUUCGGAUUCAUUGGGCGUAAAGGGUGCGUAGGUGGCGCCGUAAGUCAGGUGUGAAAUUUCGGAGCUCAACUCCGAAACUGCAUUUGAUACUGCGGUGCUUGAGGACUGGAGAGGAGACUGGAAUUCACGGUGUAGCAGUGAAAUGCGUAGAUAUCAGGAGGAACACCGGUGGCGAAGGCAGGUCUCUGGGCAACAACUGACGCUGAGGAGCGAAAGCGUGGGGAGCGAACAGG
rnacentral:rRNA from 1 species